UUCACGGGCUGGGCCAUUGGUUGCGCCUAUUGGGCCUGGGCUGAUGGGAAGCAACAGAAGGCAGCAACUACAUAUACAAGCGAACGGGCUACGAACGACUCGGCUUGGAUCAGGACGGCUUCGGCCUCCUCUGCUUCUGUCUCUUCUUCCUCUCGUGUUCCUCUCCUCCUCUGUACUAGCUAAACCUUGGUGAAUCCAUGGCUUGUAGUUCAAGUCCUUGAGCAAUUGAUCUCUGUACUAGUGUGUUGCUAACAAUUGGUAUUCAGAGCCAAUUCCCACCACUCUUCUUCAAUUUCACCACUCAGCCUCAAUUCCAUGGAUUGGAAGGCACGACUGGUGAGCUCCAUCGAGGCGGCCGUGGAGGCGGCUGUGGAGACGGCCGUCAAUCGCGCGGUACAGACGGCCGUCAAGGAGACGCGUGCCUACACCGAUGGCUCAAGGCAACGCAUCGGCGAGAAGAUCAAAGAGAGACGCCAUGCUCGAGCGGUGGGCAUCCACAACGUCGUCGCCACCGCUUCCGACAUGCCUGCUGCGACCACCUCCGAGGCCUCCUUCAACUGCGGCGCCACUCUACAGCUCGGCAAAGAGCCGGGCGUGGCCGCGUCCAACAGCAUGGACCUUGCGGCCACGUUGCCCAGAAGGUGUUCGACACAGUGCCUAAGCCACGCCGUCACCGUGCCGGUGUCAACGACCGCUUCCGCCGUAACAACAGCUCCGUCCAACCUCACCGCCAGCGUCGACCCCGAGCGCUACUGCUUCGGCCUCGAGCUAAUGACCACGACCUCGACUCCGACCUCUACACUGGAUGUCUCGGGCGCAUGCUCAACAGCGGCGAACUCCCUCACUCACGGCGCCAUCUCCACCACCAUAAUUCCAGCGCCAGAGGCAACGGCGGUGAUGGCCAUGGACAUCUCCAUGCCGACCCCCGCGUCCGCAUCAGGCGACAUCAACUUCCCUGCAUCACCAACUUCGGGUACUUAUGAUGUCUGCAUCGUGCUCCCAGCCUCUAAAGUCCUGGGCGUCGACCCGAUCACCAGCGGAGAAGACCCCGUGGACAUGUUCCGGGCUUCGGGGAGUGCAGCCUUGAUCUUGUCUCAGGAGGACUCGCCAGCUCUGUUGUAUGAGCCACUGACAGUUUUUGAGCGAGACAUGUUACCGCCCACCACCUGUUCGACUGAGUGCUCAAGAAGCAAUCUGGAUGCACCAUCUCUUGCGUUCUCGAUUACUCAUAUCACAGCAACAAGGUUGUUGCCAGCAGCAGCAUCGUUUCUCGAUUUGGAGCUCAUGGUGCAAGCUUGGAUGUCACCAACAGCCUGCUCCUCCGUCUCGGUGCGUGAGGACGACAUCAACAGCAACAACACAUACACCAUGGAGGUGCCCAUGACCAAGGAUGACAUGUUCCUGACCAAUCCAGUAGUGCCAGCAGUCUCACAUGUCCACCCCCUGAAAUUGUUUGUUGACCGUCAGCUUCAGGCACACAAUCACUCUCAGUUGCAGCAAGGACCAACAUCAAUUUCAUCAUUGGAUGGUAUGGCAAUUGAUUCUAUCUUGUCUUUUCUUCCUUGUAGUCCUGAUGGUUGCUUGCAUGGAAACAAAACCCAAUUGCUCAUUGGCAGCUUUGUUGCUAGUACUGAUUCACCAUGGGACCCUGGACAACAAGCAUCCAUGUCCUUGUUGGGUGUUGGAGUGACAAAAAUUUCAUCGAACGACACUGUCAAGGACAACCAAAAACCCUUUUUCAGAUGGGAAAUUGCCUGGUUGUUCUACUUGGAAUAUCCUGAUAUUGGUAUUGACAAGGUCAAGCCACAAUUGUGUCCAGCAAGCAGAGAAAGUUUUGGAUUAAACCCACUGGAAUCAACACAAGCCAGUACUCAUGUAUUUUGCCCCAGCAGGAAGAAAGUUGUACAGUUGGUCAGACGACAGUUGUCGAUUCCUGAGUCUGAUGCUAGCAUAUUGUUACUCGAAGGACUACCUCUAUUUUCUAUUCACUUGACAGUGGGGUCAUCUGGUGCUGGAUCAGCCUGUUUAUGCAAUGGGAUUAUUACCAUCGCGUUCUGGACACACUUCAAACCGGGCAUGCUUACUCCAUUGCAUUACAAGGAUUUGAGCUUCUGGCGAUAUAUAAGUGUGGACCAGAUGAUGCAGAAAACUGGGCAUGUUAUUCAGUCUGGUCUGGAGCAUAUCCAAUGGAAGAUUGCAUGGUCGCUUAACUUGAAAAACUUAAAUGUUGUCAACCAGUCCGAGCAAACAAUUCUUGCCGCAACAUACCCUAAGUUGUAUUUUCCGUGGCACCCAGGCGAUGACCUAGUACAACAUAUCCUCUUGCUGGAGGUCAGCUGCCUAAACUGCAAAAGGCUCAUUGUUGAUGCUGCUACACAAUAUGAUUUUGAAUGUUUUGCUUGGGAAUUUGCAUGGUCACUUCACUCAGUGUGUUGUGCUGGCAUGGCAAAUACUGUACCAUUUCAGUUCUCUGUUUCUAUUGCCAUGAGGAGCUUCCGGAGCCUCGAGUUUUGUCAAGGGAAGUUGUCAUGGGAUCCAGGCAUCGGGGCCCUUCUCUAUUUCUUCGGAUUUUAUGCUCAAACUGAAGUAACAGGAAGGAGGAAUCUUAUAGCUCCAGCUUUCUACUCAGACAGUGUCUGUGUCGACCGCCCCUACUACCUCGACGCAUUUUCUGACCAAGUGAACAUCAGCGACGAGUAUUUCCUUGAGCAAGUCGGCGUUGUAUGCUCCCUCAAUCUCGCCAAGUUCCGCCUCAACUACGGCACCCACUACGACCUCGGCGAAGUUUUGAAGCAUCAAGCACCAUGGGAUCUAGGAGGUUCGACAUGGCAUCGGCUUGAGGUCAAGCCGAAUUUCAAGGAAGGGGGAAUGUUAGCGACCAACCGUACACUCUUCACGGGCUGGGCCAUUGGUUGCGCCUAUUGGGCCUGGGCUGAUGGGAAGCAACAGAAGGCAACAACUACAUAUACAAGCGAACGGGCUACGAACGACUCGGCUUGGAUCAGGACGGCUUCGGCCUCCUCUGCUUCUGUCUCUUCUUCCUCUCGUGUUCCUCUCCUCCUCUGUACUAGCUAAACCUUGGUGAAUCCAUGGCUUGUAGUUCAAGUCCUUGAGCAAUUGAUCUCUGUACUAGUGUGUUGCUAA
rnacentral:lncRNA from 1 species